CUACGGGUGGCUGCAGUGGGGAAUAUUGGACAAUGGGGGAAACCCUGAUCCAGCAAUGCCGCGUGUGUGAAGAAGGCCCGCGGGUUGUAAAGCACUUUCGGUUGGGAGGACUGCUUCUAGCACUAAUAUUGUUGGAAGUUGACGUUACCUUCAGAAGAAGCACCGGCUAACUCCGUGCCAGCAGCCGCGGUAAUACGGGGGUGCAAGCGUUAAUCGGAAUUACUGGGCGUAAAGCGCGCGUAGGCGGCUAGAUCAGUCGGGUGUGAAAGCCCCGGGCUUAACCUGGGAACUGCAUCCGAUACUGUCUAGCUUGAGUACAGGAGAGGAGAGUGGAAUUCCACAUGUAGCGGUGAAAUGCGUAGAUAUGUGGAGGAACACCAAUGGCGAAGGCAGCUCUCUGGCCUGAUACUGACGCUGAGGUGCGAAAGCGUGGGGAGCAAACAGGAUUAGAUACCCGAGUAGUC
rnacentral:rRNA from 1 species